rnacentral:rRNA from 1 species
CCCUUAGAUGUCCUGGGCCGCACGCGCGCUACACUGAUGCAUGCAACGAGUUUAUAACCUUGGCCUGAAAGGUCUGGGUAAUCUUUUGAACGUGCAUCGUGAUAGGGAUAGAUUAUUGCAAUUGUUAAUCUUGAACGAGGAAUUCCUAGUAAACGCGAGUCAUCAGCUCGCAUUGAUUACGUCCCUGCCCUUUGUACACACCGCCCGUCGCACCUACCGAUUGAAUGGUUCGGUGAAGAUCUCGGACUUCGAUAUUUACUCUUUAUUGAGUUUAUAUUGUGGGAAGUUAUCUAAACCUCAUCAUUUAGAGGAAGGUGAAGUCGUAACA